GGCCAGGACGUACGCAACGGAAACCCGUAAACCCCGUCAGGACCGGAAGGUAGCAGCGGUAGCGGAGCUUUCCGUGUGCCGUACUCAGCCUGGCCGGA
rnacentral:SRP_RNA from 1 species